rnacentral:rRNA from 1 species
GACGAACGCUGGCGGCGUGCUUAACGCAUGCAAGUCGAACGGAAAGGCCCUGCUUUUGUGGGGUGCUCGAGUGGCGAACGGGUGAGUAACACGUGAGUAACCUGCCCUUGACUUUGGGAUAACUUCAGGAAACUGGGGCUAAUACCGGAUAGGAGCUCCUGCUGCAUGGUGGGGGUUGGAAAGUUUCGGCGGUUGGGGAUGGACUCGCGGCUUAUCAGCUUGUUGGUGGGGUAGUGGCUUACCAAGGCUUUGACGGGUAGCCGGCCUGAGAGGGUGACCGACCACAUUGGGACUGAGAUACGGCCCAGACUCCUACGGGAGGCAGCAGUGGGGAAUAGUGCACAAUGGGCGGAAGCCUGAUGCAGCAACGCCGCGUGCGGGAUGACGGCCUUCGGGUUGUAAACCGCUUUCGCCUGUGACGAAGCGUGAGUGACGGUAAUGGGUAAAGAAGCACCGGCUAACUACGUG